UCUGUUCAACACUUUUGUAAGCGUCAUGGACAGUGGGAUCAAUGGCAGCCUCAGCAAGUUUGCCACCAACACCAAGCUGUGUGGGGCAGUCGACACGCUGGAGGGAAGGGAUGUCAUCCA